rnacentral:rRNA from 1 species
GACGAACGCUGGCGGCGUGCUUAACACAUGCAAGUCGAACGAAAAACCCGGAGUUUGCUCUGGGGGAUUAGUGGCGCGAGGGUGAAUAACGCGAGUGAAACCUGCCCUGGACUCUGGGAUAUGCGGUGGAAACGGGGUCAAAUACCGGAUAGGCCCUUGGAGCGCGUGAGCUGGGGUGGAAAGUUUUUUCGGUCUGGGAUGGACUCGGGGCCUAUCAGCGUGUUGGUGAGGUAAUGGGUGCCAAAGGCGGCGACGGGUAGGCGGCCGGAGGGGGGGGUCGGCCGCCCUGUGGCUGCGGCCCGGCGCAGCCGCCUCCGGCGGGCAGCAGUGGGGACUAUUGCUCAACGGGCGGCAGCCUGCUGCAGCAACGCCGCGUGCGGGAUGACGGCCUUCGUGUUGUUAACCGCUUUUAGUAGGGAAGAAGGGCUUCGGCGUGACGGUACCGGCAGAAAAAGGACCGGCUAACUACGUG